GCAUUGAUAGCUCAAUAAGAGCAUAGCACUGAAGAUGCUAAGGUAGCAUUAUUGCUUUAAAGCA
rnacentral:tRNA from 1 species